rnacentral:lncRNA from 1 species
AUACUUGUAUCUCCCCGAUUCUGUAAUUGUCAACACAAUUGUCUGCAAUCUAUGAUAGUUCCUCUCAUUCUUCUCCACCGACAACGUAGUCUCGCACCCUUUCCGCGUGAUGUGUCCUAUACACCUCUGCUCUCUCUCCUCCAUCACCCGAGUGUUGCUCUCCCUCCCCACCAAACGUGCGGAGCAGCCUGUGACUGUCACAGCUCGUAGCUUAAAGCGGCAUCACAACAAAGCUAUGUCUCUG